GGAGAUUUCGCUCCACCAAUUUCGAUAAAAAUACACACAUUGCCAACUCCACUCUAUACGUGACACCUCGUUCCAUCGAUUCUGCUGCAACAUUAACUUUUCCAAAUGUAUCAGCAAAUGCAACACUCUGAGGAUAAGUAAUGUGAGUUUCAAUCGAUGAACAUGCCGCUUUUGCAGAGAUCUGAAAAUAUACCAUUUUAUAUUGCUGAAUAUCGAAAAAAAAGAAGAAAGCUAACCAAUAAUUCGCCAUUUUCAAUUCUCGUCAUCUCACAUUCUCUGUAUUCUAUAGCAUCCGGCCGGGGAUCAGGGAAAUAUGUAUCAUUUUCGUAGUUGUACUCGGUGAAAA
rnacentral:sRNA from 1 species